UCCGGUUGAUCCUGCCGGACCUGACUGCUAUCGGAUUGGUACUAAGCCAUGCGAGUCAUUGUAGCACUACAAGGCGGACGGCUCAGUAACACGUAGUCAACCUCACUCGUGGACGUGGAUAACCUCGGGAAACUGAGAAUAAACCACGAUAGAUCAUAGUGCCUGGAAUGGCUUAUGGUCCAAACAGUUUACUGCCAUGGGAUGGGACUGCGGCCUAUCAGCUUGUUGGUGAGGUAAUGGCCCACCAAGGCGAUUACAGGUACGGGCUCUGAGAGGAGAAGCCCGGAGAUGGGUACUGAGACACGGACCCAGGCCCUAUGGGGCGCAGCAGGCGAGAAACCUUAGCAAUGUGCGAAAGCACGACUGGGUCAGUCCGAGUGAUUCCUGAUAAAGGAGUCUUUUGCCUGUCCUAAAAGCACAGGUGAAUAAGGGGUGGGCAAGUCUGGUGUCAGCCGCCGCGGUAAUACCAGCACCUCGAGUGGUCAGGACGUUUAUUGGGCCUAAAGCAUCCGUAGCCGGCUCUGCAAGUCUUCGGUUAAAUCCACCUGCUCAACAGAUGGGCCGCUGGAGAUACUACAGAGCUAGGGAGUGGGAGAGGCAGACGGUAUUCAGUGGGUAGGGGUAAAAUCCUCUGAUCCAUUGAGGACCACCAGUGGCGAAGGCGGUCUGCCAGAACACGUUCGACGGUGAGGGAUGAAAGCUGGGGGAGCAAACCGGAUUAGAUACCCGGGUAGUCCCAGCUGUAAACGAUGCAAACUCGGUGAUGCAUUGGCUUAUGGCCAAUGCAGUGCCGCAGGGAAGCCGUUAAGUUUGCCGCCUGGGAAGUACGGACGCAAGUCUGAAACUUAAAGGAAUUGGCGGGGGAGCACCACAAGGGGUGAAGCCUGCGGUUCAAUUGGAUUCAACGCCGG
rnacentral:rRNA from 1 species